rnacentral:lncRNA from 1 species
UUUAAAACAAUUAUUGACAAAUAUGAAAGUUUAUCGGUAAUUUAGCUAAUGGUUGUUUAUUGCGAUUACUUAAAUCUAAAAGGAGGGAGAGAUUGAAGGUUUAAAAAGAGAGACAUGAGAUGGAUAUAUAAAGAUGAGAGAGAGAUGUGUGUGUAGAAAGAGCUAAUAGGCAUCAAUAUCAAAUAGAGGAAAAGAUACAUGAGAGAGAUAUAUGAGGGAGAGAGGCACAUGACUGCAAAAAGAGAUAACAUGAAGAGAUAAGAGAGAGAGAGAGUGAGAGAGAGAGAGAGAGAUGAAAUAAUAAAAAGAAAGUUGUUAUACAACAGAAAGAAGGAGAGAGUGAGUGAGUGAGAAAAGAGUGACAAAGUGAUAGAGGAGAGAGACAUGAGAUAUGAGAAAAUGGUAAUAAUAUUUUACUUGUAAACUUAAAAAGAUAUUUUGGUAUUCUUGAUUCCUUAUAUCUUGGAUAAAAAAUUGUACCGUCGUUUUAUGAGAGGACAUAAUUUAUGCUUUUGGUAUUCUUGAUUUCAGUCUCAUGACCAAUUUCUAAAGAAAAUAGGGUACAACAAAAAUUUGGUGUCUAGUUCUAUUGUGUUUUUAGCAAAUCAAAUGCACCAUAUGCAAUUACAUCAAUGAAAAAAAUGUUUGAUUGGUUGUGAAUUUCUUAAACGUUUCAAAGAGUCUUAAUUUUGACAAUUUAUGUAGAUAACUAUUUAAGAAUAUUUAAAAUAAUGUAAGUAAAUUUGAAAAGCAGAUAAACUACAAGUAAAAUAUAUUUAUUUAAAUUAAUGUAAGUUUAUUAUGAUUUAUACAAUUGGUAUUUAUAGAGUAUAAAUAAGACUUUAAAGUGUAGUUCCUUCAGUCCAUUACUUUGAUAGAUUAUAAUUAAAUUCUCAUUUCAAAUUAAUCGACUAAUUCAAGUACGUUUUCUUCAAACUUGUGACGAUCUAUGAAUAUGCCUUUCCAUUAUUUGCAUUCCCUUAUUUUUAUAUUGAUGCAAUUUGUUUUCUUUUUCUCACUAAUGUUGGGCUCAAUGAAAAUUGGCCCCAUGCACGAAGGUUGUAGUUCAAAUUAACUUGGUCAAUUUAAAUAUAAUAUCUAACGGCCCUAUAAAGUUUAUUCAUUUGCAAUAAAAUGGAUAAGUGUCCUCAAUAGCGGUCGAAAAAGAUUUUAUUAUAUCCAAUUCAAAUAAUCUAUAUUAGAAUCAAUUUUAACUCGGUUGUGGAUCGUCUUUUGCUUAAAGGACAUUUAAUAAAAAAUUUAAUAUAUAAAUGUUUUUUUAGUUGAAUAUAUAUUCUAAUAGCUAUUUAAUUGAAGCAUAAUGUUGGUUUUGAACCUCAUUCUAAUAUGAAAGAAUAGAUAAGAAAUAAAAAAUUAAAGAUAUACUCUAAAGUCAAGUAAUCAAUUACAUGAGCUAAAGUGACAAAUAUGAUCCUUCGUUGUACUAAAAACUAUUCAACUGAAAUAAGCAUAGCAUGAGGUUUUUCACAAUAUAAAAUGAUCAAACAAUUUUGUAUUUGUUGCAUGCAAAGGUAGAGUAAAAAUGGCUAAAAUUCUCUAAGGUUUUUUAUACUAUGAUCCUUUUUGUGUUUCUAUUUCUUGCUCUAGUUGAUGUUGUUGGUAAGUCCAUUCUCAUAUUUUCAUAUUCUACAAAACUCUUAAUCUUUUUUCAAUAAUAUUUUUAUUCUUAUUUUAUAUAUUCUAGCUAUUUAAUAUGAACUUUUCAGUCAUUUAGCUAAUGGUUGUUUAUUGUGAUUACCUAAUCUAUAAAAUGAGGGAAAUAUUGAAGGUUGAAAAAGAGAAAGGGAUAUAUAAAGAUAAGAGAUAGAUGUAUGUGUAGAAAGAGCUAAGAUGCAUCAAUAUGAAAUAGAGGAAGAGAUACAUGAGACAGAGGUACGAGGGAGAGAGACACAUGAAACAAUAGAAAGAGAGAGAGAUUAGACAACAAAAAGAAAGAGAGAGAGAUUAGACAACAAAAAGAAAGAGAGAGAGAGAGAGAGAGAGAGAGAGAGGAGAGAUACACGAGAUAGUAGAAAAUGGCAAUAAUAUUUUAGUAGAAAAUUUAAAAAGAUAUUUUUAUAUUCUUGACUGCUUGUAUCUUGGACGAAAAAUUGUACUGUUGUUUUUUUAGGGACCAGAAUUUUUGCUUUUGUUCAAUUUCUUGCUACCUAUUCUAAAUAGUCUCAUGAUCGAUUUCUAAACAAAAAUUUGGUUGUCUAGUUCUAUUGUCUUUUAGAAAAUCAAAUGCACAAUGCAAUUACAUCAAUGAAAAAAAAGUUGAGUGAUUGUGAAUUCCUUAAUUGUUCCAAAGAGUGUUAAUUUUGACAAUUUAUGAAGAUAACUAUUUAAGAAUAAUGAAAAUAAUGUAAGUAAAUUUGAAGAGCAGAGAAACUGUAAGUAAAAUUGGUUUAAUUGGAUUGUUGUAAAUUUAUUAUGAUUUGUACAAUUAAUUUUUAUAGAGUAUAAAUAAGAUUUUAAAGUGUAGUUCCUACAAUCCAUUAUUUUGACUGUAAGUAAAAUAAGUUUAUUUGGAUUGAUGUAAAUUUAUUAUGAUUUGUACAAUUGGUAUUUAUAGAGUAUAAAUAAGAUUUUAAAGUGUAGUUCCUACUAUCCAUUACUUUGACUGAUUAUAAUUAAGUUCUCAUUUCAAAUUAAUCGACUAAUUUAAGUACAUUUCCAUUGAACUUGUGACUAUUUAUGAAUAUGCCUUUCCGUUAUUUGCAUUCCCUUAUUUCUAUAUUGAAGCAGUUUUUUUCUUUCUAUCACAAAUGUUGGGCUCAUAUGAAAAUAGGCUCGGUGCGCUAAGGUUGUAGUUCAAAUUAACUUGGUCAAUUUAAAUGUAAUGUCUAAUAGUCCUAUAUAGUCUUUUCUUGUGCAGUAAAAGUGUUAUCAAUAACGGUCGAAAAAAUUUUAUUAUAUCGAAUUUAAAUAAUCUAUAUUAGAAUAAAUUUU